rnacentral:rRNA from 1 species
GUCUCAGGCCGGAUCAGCCUGAAGGCGCCCGAUCUCGUCUGAUCUCGGAAGCUAAGCAGGUCGGGCCUGGUUAGUAUCUUGGAUGGGAGACCACCUGGGAAUCCCGGGUGCUCGAGGCU